GCAUUGGUGAUUCAGUGGUAGAAUUCUCACUUUCCAUGUGGGAAAUCGGGGUUUGAUUCCUGGCUGAUGCA
rfam:Loxodonta africana unplaced genomic scaffold scaffold_36, whole genome shotgun sequence.